rnacentral:rRNA from 1 species
AUGAUAAGAAAGGAUCUUCAGUGGAUUUGUUCUGGUGGAUGCCAACCGCAGGGAACUAGAGCUCAGGGUAUCUACGAACUAAGAGCAUUGAGAAGAGAAACUCUGCUCUGGAUCAAUCUCCUGUACAGAAGUUCCACUCCGCUCUCAAGAUCUUCGAUACUGCACUCCAAUGCCCACAAUUGCUCCUCUUCGCACGCAACUUUGCUCUUCUGCAAUGUUUUGGAGACAAGAGACCACUUGGGCAUCUCAAUUUGCUUCGACAAGAUGCAGGAUAUGGAUUCGAGCAGUGGAAUGGUGAUCUCUCUUGCUUCUGCCAUUAGCAUCACCACCCUAGAAUCGUUCUUGUCGGAAGUAGUCUUCUUGCUGAUCUUCUUGAACUGGUUUUGUGCUUUCUUGGCUAGCCGGGUGUACGCCUUGACUUGA